UGGGGUGUGGCUCAGUGGUAGAGCACCUGCCCAGCAUGCCUGAGGCUAUGGGUUCAAACCCCAGCACCACAA
rfam:Ictidomys tridecemlineatus contig013302, whole genome shotgun sequence.